rnacentral:rRNA from 1 species
ACCAAGAAGGUUAUCUUACGCGCAAGCAAAUGGGCAUACCACAUUUACCAUUGUGCAGAAGUGCUGCGUAUAUUAUAACCAUUAAACCACAGGCGGAAGACAAACUCGAUUGUCACGGGAUUACGGGCACGGAUUAGGGUGGCGCAAGCCCCUGUAUAGAACCGAGCCCUCCAUUCCAGGGUGCUCCGUCACGGGUGCAUUGCCACCCGCCGGGCAUCCCCCGGAGUGCGAGGAUGUGACCGAAAGUAUGGUGAACUAUGCAUUGAUCAGGUCGAAGUCAGGGGACCCUGAUGGAGGACGAAGCAAUUCUGACGUGUCAAAUCGAUUGUCAGAGUUGAGCAUAGGUGGGGCGAAAGUGACCAAUCGAACCUCUCAGUUAGCUGGUAUCCCUCCGAAAGUUUCCCUCGGAUAGCUGGGCACGUAGCAUUUCGAGCUUAUUUCUUAUUCUGGUAAAGCGGAAUGAUUAGAGGCCUUAGGUUCGAAUUGAUCUUAAACCCUUUUCUCAAACUAUAAUGGGUGACGGUAUUUGGGUUGCAUACUUUGAGUGAUAGAACCCUCUCUACAAACCGACAAUCGGGCGGGGCAAACACGCCCCCGGUUAGAUAUUGGUGUGCUUAGUGGGCCAAGUUUUGGUAAGCAGAACUUGGUGCAUGUGGGAUGAACCAAAACGUGAUGUUACGAGCGCUAAUAAAACGAACGCAUCAUUAGAUACCAUGAAGGUGUUUGAUGCUAAAAGACAGCAGGACGGUGGACAUGGGAAGUCGUCAUUCCGCCUAAGAGUGUUGUAAACAACAUCACCCUGCCGAAAGCACUUACCUUAAAAUGAAUUGGCGCUCAAGUCGUUUGGCCCAUACAUCGCCGCUAGCGGCCAUAGCGCAUCGAGGCUGGACCAACCUUGCGAUGAAGCACCUUAGUGAGUAGGAGGGCACCCGUGGUGUGCGCAGAGUGCUUCGAGGCGCAAGCCGCAUGGAGCCGCACGGGCACAGAUCUCGGUUAGUCAGUAGCAAAUAUUCGAAUGAGCUCUUGGAUGACUUGAAGUGGAGAAGGGUUUCGUGUCAACAGCAGUUGAACAGAGCAGUUCGCCAAUCCUAAGGCCGCAUGGGAACCCUGUACUACACCCCAAUACGCAUGCUGGCGAAGGGAUCCGGUUACCAUUCCGGAGCCUGUUGAGUUCCCGUUCUGCGCUGGCGUAGGCAUUCGCACCGUUUCGUAUGUGUUUGCUUUGCGUCGUGUGUAGCUCAUGGCAACAUGAAUCCUUUCUUCGCAGAAGCCAAGCGAGGGGCAUCGGAGAGUUUCUUUUCUGCUUUUAACAGCCCACCACCGACCAUGGAAGUUCCACUCACAGAGAGAUAUGUUGGACGCGCUGGUAGGGUAGAGCCGGCCGUCGGCCACUGCCGUUCGUGCACUCUCUUGGUACCAUUGAAAUCUUAGACUGGGGCACAUCCCAUUUGUUUGAUCGCGGUUAGUAACGUUUUACAACCCCGUUUGUAAAUAUGCACUCUCAAGCUUUGUACCAAUCCGCACGCAGGGCUCAAGGUGCGAGCCUCUAGUC